CCACUCUCCACCUUGUCCUCCACCCUCCAGUGAACUGAGAGAGCAGAAAGAUAAUCUUUACAGCUAGCUCUGCUGAUCCUAGGAGAGUGUUUGACUGAGGUCUCAAGUUGUUGAUCUGAGCAAUGCUGAGGGGCAGCAAAUAUCUAAGACUGGUGAGACUGAGGUGUGGAGGAGGGAGACCACUGACGGCUGAACUGUUUGGUGAUCACCAUGGCAAACACAGGCUAUUGCACACUCCAAGAUAGGUGAUCCUUGGGGAGGGUCUUAUCUGAUGGAGGCCCUCACUGAUCAGGUGUACGAGUCAGGAUUCAACAUCACCAAUGAGACACGAUAGUUGGUGUGAACAAGUACACUCUGGACAAGGAGGAGCCAGUGGAGGUGCUCUCUAUCGACAACGCUAAGACCAUUCAUUGAAUCACAGAAACGUGAACUGGAGACCCUCCGCUCCACUAGAGACCAAUCACAGCCCAAGGUUGCUGAGAUUGCAAAGCUGAUGACAGCGUAUAUUCGUCUGGUGGUGGUCAGAAUGAAGUGAUAAUCCAAUUCAACAGAACAUUUUUAUGCUGAUCAUAAAGUUCCCCAAAACAUGAGCUAGAUUGUCUUUAGUACGCUUUAAGUCUGCUUGGAUUCAUCCUGUACUGCCUCCUGGCUUGCUGGUACAAGAGGAGAGUUAGAGACGAGCACUAUCAUGUACAACAUGCGGAGAUUAUUUGCUGCUUGUAUGAGUUUAAAUUUUUUGUCCUCUACAUAUGCUGGCGAGUGUAUAAGUGGUGCAAUUCACCCCCAAAAUAAUACAAUGGUACUGGAAUCAAGGCCGCUCUGAGUCUGCUUGGAUUCAUCCUGUACUGCCUCCUGGCUCGAUGGUACAAGAGGAGAGUUAGAGACGAGGACUACAAUGCACACAGAGUGGUGGAGGAGGUCUAUGAUCGAUAUCUAAUAAAUCCAAGCAUCACUAACUAAGUAGGCAGACUAUUGUAUGGUGAAUUGUAAUUUACUCUUUUGAUGAAUUAUAAUUAUAGUCAUCAUCUCAUGCACAUGCUGUUAAGUUGUUUGCAAGCACAUUCAUAUUCAACUAUAACAAAUCCAUAUUGUGCAAUACUGAACUAUGAAAGUUUGACAGAAAUUAAUAAAAGAAUUCCA